CCUCUGCAGCCUCAGAAUUAAAACCAUCCUGACACACUGAGAUCCAGCGUCGAUCAGACUUCACCUCCACAUGGCCUGCGCAAACAUUUGAUUGUCCAAGGAGCCUCACAGACUCUGAAACCAGACACAGACACAUGAACUUUACUGAUCACCUCCAGACUGUAGGCAGAAGUACGUUUUCCCUGCACUCUUCUUCUAGUUCUGGUGCUGUCACACUCCUUCAGGGUUGACUCAUCGCCUCUGCAGAUGAAAUGACCCUCCCAUGCUGGUUGCUGAACUCUCCAUUCUCCCUGAUGUUUCAUCUCCAGCCUGCCGGAGCAGUGGCUGCCUCCUUCGACCAGCCGAGCAUCAACAGGCACUGCACAAGGAGGGAACACAGUGAAGCUCUUGUUUAGAUUCAGGCACCGAAUGCAAAAAAGUGAUGAAGUUGUCGAUAUGCACAAGAGUCAGCAAACACUUCUUUUCUCAGGUAUGUGAACCUGAAUUAUGAAAAGUCAACCAGAAUUGGAGAAUAGCAACAAGGCCACUGCCUUUUAUUUAUGUUCUUCAAUUAAGUUUUUAAAUAGAUUUAACAUAUAUUGUAUUUGGAUGUUAGUGCAUGAUGUGAGUUAUGCAGUGCCCCCAAUUCUUACAAUCUCUGUGGUUAUUUUAAAUGUGCCAUGGAAUCCAUGUUUGUCUCUGAAAACUUUGGGAGAUUGACAGGAAUUUAAAGAAAAAUCGUGCAUGGGUUUCAAUACUUUUCUACUGCGGGAUCAAUCAACACAAACAUAUUUUACAGUGAGGUUUUUUUUUAAUCUACAAGUAAACAUUGCAUGGCAAGUGACAGGCCUUCAAACAGUAGGUCACACAACAGCUGUAUUUUAUCCUUUUGAGGAGGUGUAAAAUUCAUUUGCCCUUCAUUCGGUGGUUUUCAGUUAUUUACCUAUGUUAGUCUAAGGCGUAGGAAAUUAACAUAGAUUUUUUACUUACUUUGCUAAAUAUGCUUCAGUAUUUGAAUGUUCACUGUAACCCUCCAUAUCCAUCAUUUUCUUUCAUAAAUGCAGACCUGAAUAAAAGACUAAACUGAAAACAUGAUGUUUCUGCCAAGUACAAACACCAGUGAAAGGCACUUACCAGGAUGUUUUUCUGCUUGUUUUAGACUGGAGGUCUCUGUCAUCAGCAGGGCAAAAUGCCAAACUACCACUAAAGACAAUUGCAAAAAUAAACUGUGCUGCACUGAGGGCAUUUUUAACUUUGCUCUGAUUUCAUGUAGCAUAAAACUGAGUCUACAUACAGUUCUGGGAGCUUACUCAGUGAAUACAACAGGGCUGCACUCAUACAGCCUCUUUUAAGGACAAGACUGUUUGCACUAGUCGGCAUAGUUGACCCUGUGGCCCAUAGCUUGUUGCCACACCAACAUGACAUCCAUUCACAAUUACUUUUUCUCCAGCAUACAAACCUUAUUCUUAGUUUCCCACACCCAGGUGCCUGCGAUCCUAAAGAUCAACCGUGGCUCAGAGAGUGCUUCUUAUAUUAAUCAUAAUAUUACAUUUGAAUGUAUCCAGUCUUAUUACCUUGUUAUCACAAGCCCACCUGUUUCUUGGUGAAUUUCUUAUUUCUUAAAGAAAGAAAUGUUCAAUUUAUCACAAGUUUUAUCACACUGGAUUACAUUUUUUACACACCAGAUUUACCAGGAUGUAGUCUGAAGUAACAAAUAACAGUUUGUCAAUUUGUCAAGUCUGCUGGCAAGAGGAACGGAGUCAUCUGAUUCUGUAUGUUAACUGUGUGGUUACUAUAUUACAGAGGUGAAGUGACAUUUGACACUCCUAGCCUCCAGUCUACCUAGACUGAACUUUAGCUUUUAUGUUAAAGAUUAUGAUCACAACAAACAAAAGAUAUGUUAUCUAAUGGAUGCAAAGGAGGAGAUUGUUAUUGAGAAUCAAUAUACACACUAAACAGGCACUGGGGUCCAAUGACACUUCUCAUUAUCAGCUUGUAUUAUGGAUCUUCUAUUCUCUAGUGCUGCCAACAAUGAAAUCACUCAGUCAAGAGUAUGCUGAUGUAAAAUGAAAAAAUCAUCUGUCAUUGUGUGGACAUACUGUUUAAUCUUUUUACACACACUUUAUGUUUGAUUAUUUCUAACUUUAUUCAAUUCCCCAAAACCACAAUAUUGGAAACAGAACAUGACAGAUAAAUAUGAACACCCAACCCAAAAAGAUAAGAUAAUUCAUAUAAACAAAUAAAAAUCUGCACAUUAUGUGGACAGGACAAGACAGGACAGGUAAAGAAACCAGAAUAGAAUAGCAUAUAUAUUUGCUAACUUCGCUCAAUCUGCAUGAACCCCUCGGAUAAGGGGAGUCCACGUAACGUAGUAAAGUAAAACUGUGAUGAAAGAUGGUCUGGUUAUAGAACAUAUUAAUAUUAUACUGUUUUGAAAACAGAGGGUCUUCAUGGUUCAAAACCUGUACAUUAGUUGUACCUUGUCUGAACAAUGUUUUAGUAUUUUAAAGGAUUUUGUGUUCAAAAGAUCCAGGAUAAUUUUCUUGUCAGUCUAUAAUAACAUAAUGGAAACUCCGACCUUUCCAGUGACACUAAAACGCGCCGUGAACGGGAGGUAGCAACUCCGGUUAGUGUCGGACGAAAGUUUUCCCAUUUCAGAGUCACGCAGACAUAAAUGUAUGUUCUUGCCAAAAUACUUCACAAAAACUUAUAUUUUCGCCCAAAACAGCAGACUUUUAUUUACUUACGU